rnacentral:rRNA from 1 species
CCUACGGGAGGCAGCAGUGGGGAAUCUUGCGCAAUGGGCGAAAGCCUGACGCAGCGACGCCGCGUGAGUGAUGAAGGCCUUAGGGUUGUAAAGCUCUGUGGAGAGGGACGAAUAAGCGCCGGGUAAUACUCGGCGUGAUGACGGUACCUCUUUAGCAAGCACCGGCUAACUCUGUGCCAGCAGCCGCGGUAAGACAGAGGGUGCGAACGUUGUUCGGAAUUACUGGGCGUAAAGCGCGUGUAGGCUGUCACGCAAGUCGGGUGUGAAAGCCCGGGGCUCAACCCCGGAAGUGCACUCGAAACUGCGUGACUUGAGUCUCGGAGAGGGCGGCGGAAUUCUGGGUGUAGAGGUGAAAUUCGUAGAUAUCCAGAGGAACACCGGUGGCGAAGGCGGCCGCCUGGACGAGCACUGACGCUGAGACGCGAAAGCGUGGGGAGCAA